UACGGAGGAUGCAAGCGUUAUCCGGAAUGAUUGGGCGUAAAGCGUCCGCAGGUGGCAAUGUAAGUCUGCUGUCAAAGCGUCUGGCUCAACCAGAUAAAGGCAGUGGAAACUACAUAGCUAGAGUAAGGUAGGGGUAGAGGGAAUUCCUGGUGUAGCGGUGAAAUGCGUAGAGAUCAGGAGGAACACCCGUGGCGAAAGCGGCUCUCUGGGACGGUACUGACGCUGAGACGCGAAAGCGUGGGGAGCAAACAGG
rnacentral:rRNA from 1 species